rnacentral:rRNA from 1 species
GACGAACGCUGGCGGCGUGCCUAAUACAUGCAAGUCGAACGCUUUUUCUUUCACCGGAGCUUGCUCCACCGAAAGAAAAAGAGUGGCGAACGGGUGAGUAACACGUGGGUAACCUGCCCAUCAGAAGGGGAUAACACUUGGAAACAGGUGCUAAUACCGUAUAACACUAUUUUCCGCAUGGAAGAAAGUUGAAAGGCGCUUUUGCGUCACUGAUGGAUGGACCCGCGGUGCAUUAGCUAGUUGGUGAGGUAACGGCUCACCAAGGCAACGAUGCAUAGCCGACCUGAGAGGGUGAUCGGCCACACUGGGACUGGGACACGGCCCAGACUCCUACGGGGGGCAGCAGUAGGGAAUCUUCGGCAAUGGACGAAAGUCUGACCGAGCAACGCCGCGUGAGUGAAGAAGGUUUUCGGAUCGUAAAACUCUGUUGUUAGAGAAGAACAAGGAUGAGAGUAGAACGUUCAUCCCUUGACGGUAUCUAACCAGAAAGCCACGGCUAACUACGUGCCAGCCGCCGCGGUAA